rnacentral:rRNA from 1 species
UAACAAUGGAGAGUUUGACUCUGGCUCAGGAUGAACGCUAGCGAUAGGCUUAACACAUGCAAGUCGAGGGGCAGCGAGAUGUAGCAAUACGUCGUCGGCGACCGGCGAAUGGGUGAGUAACACGUAUGCAACUUACCUCUUAGUGGUGAAUAACCCGAUGAAAGUCGGACUAAUACACCAUAUACUCCUUAGAUCCCAUGAGAAGAGGAGGAAAGAUUAAUCGCUAAGAGAUGGGCCUGCGUUCCAUUAGCUAGUUGGUAAGGUAACGGCUUACCAAGGCAACGAUGGAUAGGGGGACUGAGAGGUUGACCCCCCACAUUGACACUGAGAUACGGGUCAAACUCCUACGGGAGGCAGCAGUGAGGAAUAUUGGUCAAUGGGCGAGAGCCUGAACCAGCCAAGUCGCGUGAAGGAAGACUGCCCGCAAGGGUUGUAAACUUCUUUUGUAUGGGAUUAAAGUCACCUACGUGUAGGUGUUUGCAGUUACCAUACGAAUAAGCAUCGGCUAACUCCGUGCCAGCAGCCGCGGUAAUACGGAGGAUGCGAGCGUUAUCCGGAAUUAUUGGGUUUAAAGGGUGCGUAGGUUGCAAGGGAAGUCAGGGGUGAAAAGCUGUAGCUCAACUAUGGUCUUGCCUUUGAAACUCUCUAGCUAGAGUGUACUGGAGGUACGUGGAACGUGUGGUGUAGCGGUGAAAUGCAUAGAUAUCACACAGAACUCCGAUUGCGCAGGCAGCGUACUACAUUACAACUGACACUGAAGCACGAAAGCGUGGGUAUCCAACAGGAUUAGAUACCCUGGUAGUCCACGCAGUAAACGAUGAAUACUAGAUCUAUGCGAUAUACAGUAUGGGUCUAAGCGAAAGCGAUAAGUAUUCCACCUGGGGAGUACGCCGGCAACGGUGAAACUCAAAGAGAUUGGCGGGGGUCCGCACAAGCGGAGGAACAUGUGGUUUAAUUCGAUGAUACGCGAGGAACCUUACCCGGGAUUGAAAUGUAGAUGCAUGAGGCUGAGAGGUCUCUUCCCUUCGGGGCUUCUAUGUAGGUGCUGCAUGGUUGUCGUCAGCUCGUGCCGUGAGGUGUCGGCUUAAGUGCCAUAACGAGCGCAACCCGCGUCGAUAGUUACUAACGAGUCAAGUCGAGGACUCUAUCGAGACAGCCGUCGUAAGACGUGAGGAAGGAGCGGAUGACGUCAAAUCAGCACGGCCCUUACAUCCGGGGCGACACACGUGUUACAAUGGUAGGGACAGCGAGCAGCCAUCUGGUGACAGAGAGCUAAUCUAUAAACCCUAUCCCAGUUCGGAUCGGAGUCUGCAACUCGACUCUGUGAAGCUGGAUUCGCUAGUAAUCGCGCAUCAGCCAUGGCGCGGUGAAUACGUUCCCGGACCUUGCACACACCGCCCGUCAAGCCAUGGGAGUCGGGGGUACCUGAAGAGCGUGACCGUCACAGGAGCGCUUGAGGGUAAAACUGGUGACUGGGGCUAAGUCGUAACAAGGUAGCCGUACCGGAAGGUGCGGCUGGAACACCUCCUUUCU